AUACGGAGGGUGCAAGCGUUAAUCGGAAUUACUGGGCGUAAAGCGUACGUAGGCGGUUCGUUAAGUUAGAUGUGAAAGCCCCGGGCUUAACCUGGGAACUGCAUUUAAAACUGGCGGACUAGAGUUGAGUAGAGGGGAGUGGAAUUUCAAGUGUAGCGGUGAAAUGCGUAGAGAUCUGAAGGAACACCGGUGGCGAAGGCGACUCCCUGGACUCGAACUGACGCUGAGGUACGAAAGCGUGGGUAGCAAACGGGAUUAGAAACCCCAGUAGUCC
rnacentral:rRNA from 1 species